rnacentral:rRNA from 1 species
UACGAAGGUGGCAAGCGUUGUUCGGAUUUACUGGGCGUACAGGGAGCGUAGGCGGUUGGAUAAGCCCCUCCGUGAAAUCUCCAGGCUUAACCUGGAAAGUGCAGAGGGGACUGUUCAGCUAGAGGAUGGGAGAGGAGCGCGGAAUUCCCGGUGUAGCGGUGAAAUUCGUAGAUAUCGGGAGGAACACCAGUGGCGAAGGCGGCGAUCUGGGAAGAUACUGACGCUGAGGUGCGAAAGCGUGGGGGAGCAAACAGG